ACGUGUCCGCGAAGAUGGCGGGCCGGAGUAUGCAAGCUGCAAGAUGUCCUAUAGAUGAAUUAUCUUUAACCAACUAUGCAGUUGUGAAUGAAAAGGAUUUUCAGUCCAGCCAGCAUGUGGUAGUGAGGACCUCACUCAAUCACAGGUACACGUUUACUCUGAAGACGCAUCCGUCAGUGGUUCCAGGGAGCAUUGCAUUCAGCUUACCUCAGAAAAAAAAGUAUUGACUCCAAUCCUUAUGGUACUGACAAGAUGGCAGCAGAAUUUAUUCAGCAGUUCAACAACCAGGCCUUCUCAGUGGGACAGCAGCUUGUGUUCAGCUUCAACAAAAAGCUUUUUGGACUACUGGUAAAGGAUAUUGAUGCCAUGGAUCCCAGCAUCCUGAAAGGAGAGGCUGUGACAGGUAAAAGACAGAAGACUGAAGUAGGACUGGUUGUUGGAAACAGUCAAGUUGCAUUUGAAAAAGCAGAAAAUUCGUCACUCAAUCUUAUUGGCAAAGCUAAAACCAAGGAAAAUCGCCAGUCUAUCGUCAAUCCUGAUUAGAACUUUGAAAAAAUGGGAAUAGGAGGGCUGGACAGAGAAUUUUCAGAUAUUUUCCAACAAGCAUUUGCUUCCAGAGUAUUUCCACCAGAGAUUGUGGAGCAGAUGGGAUGUAAACAUGUGAAAGGCAUCCUGUUAUAUGGGCACCCUGGUUGUGGUAAGACCCUCUUGGCUCGACAGAUUGGCAAGAUGUUGAAUGCAAGAGAGCCCAAAGUGGUCAAUGGACCAGAAAUCCUUAACAAGUAUGUGGGUGAAUCCGAGGCGAACAUUCGCAAGCUUUUUGCUGAUGCUGAAGAGGAGCAAAGGAGGCUUGGUGCGAACAGUGGUUUGCACAUCAUCAUCUUUGAUGAAAUUGAUGCCAUCUUCAAGCAGAGAGGAAGCAUGGCUGGCAGCACUGGAGUUCACAACACUGUCAUCAAUCAGCUGUUGUCCAAAAUCAAUGGGGUAGAGCAGCUGAACAACAUCCUAGUCACUGAAAUGACCAAUAGAUCAGAUCUGAUAGAUGAAGCUCUCCUUCGACCUGGAAGACUGGAAGUCAAAAUGGAGAUAGACUUACCAGAUGAAAAAGGUCGACUACAGAUCCUUCACAUCCAUACAGCGAGGAUGAGAGACCAUCAGUUACUCUCUACUGAUGUGGACAUUAAAGAGCUGGCUGUGGAGACCAAGAACUUCAGUGGUGCUGAGCUGGAGGGUCUGGUGCGAGCAGCACAGUCCACUGCUAUGAACAGACAUAUAAAGGCCAGUACUAAAGUUGAAGUGGACAUGGAGAAAGCAGAGAGUCUGAAGGUAACAAGAGGGGACUUCCUUGCUUCCCUGGAGAACAUCAAACCAGCAUUUGGCACAAACCAAGAGGAUUAUGCAAGUUACAUUAUGAACGGAAUCAUCAAAUGGGGUGACCCGGUUACUCAAGUUCUGCAUGAUGGGGAGCUUUUGGUCCAGCAGACUAAGAACAGCGAUCAUACACCGCUGGUUAGUGUCCUUUUGGAAGGCCCUCCUCACAGUGGAAAGACUGCAUUAGCUGCAAAGAUUGCAGAGGAGUCCAACUUCCCCUUCAUCAAGAUCUGCUCUCCUGAUAAGAUGAUUGGCUUCUCUGAGACAGCCAAGUGUAAGGCCAUGAAGAAGAUCUUUGAUGAUCCCAUGAAUCAAGCAGCAGUUUUGAUUUUCCAGUCUUAUUAUUUAAGAAAUACAUUUUAUAAGGCUAUGGUUACCACAGACAGUGAUUCCUCUGAUGCAUUUGGGCAAAGCAAAUUUAAAACUUUCAGGACAGAAUUCACCAUUCCAGAAGCCAUUAAUAAUAUUUGUGAUCUAUGGAAGGAAGUCAAAAUGCCAACAUUAACGGGAGUUGGAAAGAAGCUGGUUUCAACCCUCAUGAAUGACUGA